GGCUGCUAGAUAGAUUUGGCUGCAAGGAUGAGCUAAAUGAAGGAGAAAGUAACUACCAAUUCAAAGAAAGGCCAUGGCUUCUCCAGACCAUGCUUAACUUUGAACAUGUUUAUAGGUUCAUAGGUUCAUUUUGGAGCAAACUAUCAACUCGCAUGCAAUGCCAUGGAAAGGUAAUACUUGAACAUGAUGCUCACAUGGGAAGAUGCAGUUGUCUUUAGAGUCAUCAUCUGUAAAAGACUGUGUACUG
rnacentral:lncRNA from 1 species